GAGCCAAUUCAACAGUAACAGUGUAUUGGCUUGUGAAACAGUUAUUGACAAGGAGCAGUGCGCAGGAAAACUGCGAAAAUUUCGGUGGGCAAUUGGUAUCCAUCAAGACAGCUGCUGAAAACAAUUAUCUGAGGCAGUUUGUUCUUGCUGGUAACGAAAGCAUAUGGACAAGUGGUGUCGGGCUUGGUGGACAGAAAAGCACGUUUAAAUGGGAAGAUGGAUCAUUGAUAGGAGACGGAUUUACAAACUGGCGAGUAGGACAACCGUACCCUACCAAUAAUGAUAAUGCUUGCAUAAACUUGAUACCAAAUUGGAACUUCCAAUGGAACGAUGCAGUUUGCACCGCCGAGUGUUACAGCAUUUGUAGUUUUUAUUCCAACUGAAGUAAAUAUUCAAUUUUACUUCGAGAUAUAUUGUAGUGUCAGCUAUUUGAUAUUGAGCAACAUUUUUUCUUGAUAAUGAUUUAA